rnacentral:rRNA from 1 species
UGGGGAAUUUUGGACAAUGGGGGCAACCCUGAUCCAGCAAUGCCGCGUGUGUGAAGAAGGCCUUCGGGUUGUAAAGCACUUUUGUCCGGAAAGAAAACUUCGGGGCUAAUACCCCUGGAGGAUGACGGUACCGGAAGAAUAAGCACCGGCUAACUACGUGCCAGCAGCCGCGGUAAUACGUAGGGUGCGAGCGUUAAUCGGAAUUACUGGGCGUAAAGCGUGCGCAGGCGGUGCUGUAAGACCGAUGUGAAAUCCCCGGGCUUAACCUGGGAACUGCAUUGGUGACUGCAGCGCUGGAGUAUGGCAGAGGGGGGUGGAAUUCCACGUGUAGCAGUGAAAUGCGUAGAGAUGUGGAGGAACACCGAUGGCGAAGGCAGCCCCCUGGACCAAUACUGACGCUCAUGCACGAAAGCGUGGGGAGCAAACAGG